CUCACCUUUAAUAGACACAAGACCCAACCCUAGAGGACAACACAAAAAUCAAUCGUGAAUACACAAUAGAAGCACCAGCCGUUUUUCAUCAUCUUCUCCACACCCUUAGCUUCUUCAUCUUUUUCAACCUAGAGACCAACAGCUUCACCACCAUAGCACACCAGUUCCUUGACGACGGGAAUCACCAUGAAAAUGCUGUCACGUAAACCAUGAAGCCGCAACUCCCAAAAACAACGAGUCCUCACGUCUUCAUCUUCUUCGGCUAAAAGAACGGUUGCUUCGUUUUUCUUUUUCAAUUUAAAAGCAAGAACACGUGCCUUCUAUUCUUUGUUUUCUUCUACUGAAGGCUGGGUUUGAAUCCAGGAAAAAAGGAGUAUAUCCGACGCUGUCUAAGCCCCAUUUCGUUGCUCCAAAAUUGUGCGACUUCUCUGACAAGUUUGAUUGAGGUCGCUUUGGCUUCGAGCUUUCUGAUGCCGAUUUGAAUUCCCGUCUGCGGUUCGUCGCAUUUCUGAGUUCAAAGAUACCUCACAAUUUUCUUAUACAGGUAUGGAUCUACUUACCGGAGUUUGACCAUGACAGACACACUAGGACCAUCCAGUCAGGAUCACUACAUUCAGAAGCUGGAUAAAGGAGUUUUUUAUGUUUUGAUUCUAUUUUUUUAUGUUGUUUUGUACUUUAUAGUCAUGUUCAGUAGUAUUGAUUUUGUUAGUUGGUGUCAAAGUUUGUCGUAGUAUAGUUGAGUUUGUCAAGUUUCCCGUUAUCGUAUUUCCUGUUUUAUAUUUGAAAAUCGAAAAAGAGUUGUAAAUGAAAAAUCCAAUUUUUUUUGUUUCUUA